UGGCUUAGAAGCAGCCAUCAUUUAAAGAAAGCGUAAUAGCUCACUGAUCGAGUCGUCCUGCGCGGAAGAUGUAACGGGGCUAAGCCAGUUACCGAAGCUGCGGAUUUGCAAUUUAUUGCAAGUGGUAGGAGAGCGUUCUGUAAGCCUGUGAAGGUGCCUGGUAACGGGUGCUGGAGGUAUCAGAAGUGCGAAUGCUGACAUGAGUAGCGUUAAAGGGGGUGAAAAGCCCCCUCGCCGUAAGCGCAAGGUUUCCUACGCAACGUUCAUCGGCGUAGGGUGAGUCGGCCCCUAAGGCGAGGCA
rnacentral:rRNA from 1 species